CAGUCGCCGCGGUAAUACGAAGGGGGCUAGCGUUGCUCGGAAUGACUGGGCGUAAAGGGCGCGUAGGCGGCGAUCAAAGUCAGGCGUGAAAUUCCUGGGCUCAACCUGGGGGCUGCGCUUGAUACUUGGUUGCUUGAGUGGGGAAGAGGGUCGUGGAAUUCCCAGUGUAGAGGUGAAAUUCGUAGAUAUUGGGAAGAACACCGGUGGCGAAGGCGGCGACCUGGUCCUUGACUGACGCUGAGGCGCGAAAGCGAGGGGAGCAAACAGGAUUAGAUACCCCCGUAGUCCCUGUCUCUUAUAC
rnacentral:rRNA from 1 species